rnacentral:tRNA from 1 species
AUUUAUAUAGUUUAACAAAAAACAUUACAUUUUCAUUGUAAAAUUGGAAUCUUUUCUUAUAA